rnacentral:misc_RNA from 1 species
UCCACAUUGAUUCCGAGAAGACCAGACGAAACUCCAGGAGUGGAAGGAUCUGGUGGAUGCUUUCAUUGGUCAGCUAAGUUUGCUGUGAACAAAAAGGCAUUUGCAAAGUCCCACCCUAACGAUUCUCACCCUAGCCUCGGCUUCGCCUUCGGUCUAGCGGGGCGCUAUACCCUAUUCUCUUAUUAUUAUUAUAUGCCUUCGGCUUCUUCUUAGCCUUACCUUCUCG